rnacentral:lncRNA from 1 species
GUCAAUAGAUUGGUAUCGUCUAUGAAAAAUUCGCACUAAAACCACAAACAUCCUAGUGGCGAAAGUCAGCAAGAGUUGUUGUCCCACAAUUAAACCUUGAAGAAAGGUGCGAGUUCCUAAAAAUGGAUAGUAAAAGGCAUUGAAGAUUUGGUAGCACAAAGGUAUUAUAUCCCAUGAGCUCCAGUCAAUACGGCUCUCAUGGCAGAGGACACCAGUCAGAGGCCUCUGAAGAAAAGACCAUUUGAACGAAUGUCACUAUCCGCUGUCCCUACCAUCAACAUCGACGGAGAGGUACUACGACUCGCUUAGCGAGAGAAGUGGGGAAGAUGCCGACUUACAUGAGGAAUAUAUCCCACAGAGCGCCAUUUGUGCAACAGUUGCUCGUACAAAUGCACGGACGGAAAAGGUAUCAAGCUCCCCAACGAGGAACCUCCCAGCAGGAGGAAUGAGCGACGGGCUAUCCACAAGGGCAUGAAAGAGAUUUACGCCUCAUAGAGAGGGAAGUGGGGAUGGAUAUGUUCACAAAUUAUACCCCCGCACGAAUCAAUGAUAACUUGUCACAUGGAGCAAAAGAUUUUCCCCUGGAAUAUACUCAAGAACAGGAACUGCAAUGGUUCAUCAGUGUAUUCGACAGGAUUAGACCACAAAUGCCUAGGAAUAGGUCUCAAUUGUCACCGCUAGAUCAGAGGCACCAAGUACAUGGGCAGGGGCCUACUCACCCUGAAGCUAGACCGCCAAGAAAGAAGGGCUACAGAAAAUCUACAGAAUCAAGCCUGGACUUCACAACCACCUCUUUAUCAGGCUGAAGAGGGAGAAUGGAGGGGGCAUGUAUAUCCUUUGAGUUAGGCGAUGAUGAUGAUAGUCUACCGUUGUCCCAGAAGUUAAGAAGUACCUACAUCCCGAGCCAAUUUAUGCCACCAAGAAUACCUAAGAAUGAAAGGAAAGGGAGAUCUGGCGAAGCACCUUUACAAUUAUAAAGCUCACAUGUCCCUUAGAGAAGCCUCGACAGUGCUGAAGUGUGGGACUUUCCACCUGACCCUCACUGGUGCUGCAGAGAUCUGGCAUAAUUGCAUACCAGUCGGUAGUGUUAGAAGUGGUCAAAUCUGAAGAAAGCUUUUUUGAACCAGUAUAUGUCAAGUAAGGAGGGCGAGGCCCCAAGCGAGACCCUUAAUAGUUAUCUAGCCUGGUUUACGGAUGAAAUGACCUACUGCUAACAAGUCACGGAUGGGGAAGCACUCUUAGCGUCAAGAAGAGUCCUCAACAUGAAC